rnacentral:rRNA from 1 species
GUUAAGAUUAAUACAGUAAAAAAGUGGUAAAAGGCCUACUGGUGUCCCAUAGGACACCGGCAUUACAAGAAAAAUUACGUUUUCUAUAGAGGUGGAAUUUGUGUAGAAAAACUAAAUUACUGUUUUCUUGCCCACUUGAAGCCACGAAAUCUCAGUUAAAAACCGGGAUUAGAUACCCCGUUAUUUGAGAUGUAAAUUUUGAUUUUUUUUUAGAAAAUUUACUUGAGCAUUACGGGCCCUAUAAAUCUACACUUAUAGGAACAGCCUAAAACUCAAAAGACUUGGCGGUGCCUUAAAUCCUUCCAGGGGAACCUGUCCUGUAAUUGAUAGUCCACAAUUUACCUUUCCUUUUUUUGAAUUUAUACCAGUCUGUAUACCGUCGUCGUCAGAUUACCUCUAAGAGAAAAAGUUAUCGACUAAAAAAGCUUUUCUUUUCAUGCUAUUACUAGCUUUGAUAAUGGAAUGUCCUCUAAACGUCAGAUCAAGGUGCAGCCUACGAAAAGGAAGAGAUGGGUUACAAUGAAUAAUUAUUAUACGAAUUUCUUUUUGCAAAAUAAGUCUAAAGGAGGACUUGGAAGUAAUUAUUAGAGAAAUAGAGAGUCUCGGUGAAGAUGGCUCUAAGGCGUGU